CCUACGGGCGGCUGCAGUCGAGAAUCUUCCGCAAUGGACGAAUGUCUGACGGAGCGACGCCGCGUGGUGGAUGAAGCCUUUCGGGGCGUAAACACCUUUUAUGAGUGAAGAAGUAUAUUGACAUUAGCUCAUGAAUAAGAGGCUCCUAACUCUGUGCCAGCAGGAGCGGUAAUACAGAGGCCUCAAGCGUUAUCCGGAUUCACUGGGCGUAAAGGGUGCGUAGGCGGUUAUAUUAGUCGGGUGUUAAAUCUUUGGGCUCAACCCAAAGCUCGCAUUCGAAACGGUAUAACUAGAAGAAGUCAGAGGUAAGCAGAACUCUCGGUGUAGGGGUGAAAUCCGUUGAUAUCGAGGGGAAUACCAAAUGCGAAGGCAGCUUACUGGGACUUUCUUGACGCUGAGGCACGAAAGCGUGGGUAGCGAACGGGAUUAGAUACCCUGGUAGUC
rnacentral:rRNA from 1 species